AAGUCGUAACAAGGUUUCCGUAGGUGAACCUGCGGAAGGAUUAUUAAGAAUCUUGCGUAUUAUACGUACUGCCGCCGUGCUAGUCUAACUAGCACGGCCUGCAGGUUGUGGCAAGUGGCUUGGCCGACAUGGAAUUGCGCCUCAUGGAUGUUUACCCCAUGUUAGGUUUAGUCGUCGGACUACCGAACAUUUUCAUAACCAGGUUACCAACGGCUUUAACGGGCCGCUCACGACUAAGUCCUUAUUUAUACUAGUACCUUACCAUAACUAUCCUUUGGUGGCGACCUCUGCUGCUGUUGGAACACCUAAACCCUUUUUGCAUCUAGCAUUACCUGUUUAGAUAAAAAUAAUCGUUACAACUUUCAACAAUAGAUCUCUUGGCUCUA
rnacentral:misc_RNA from 1 species